GGGAGUGUGAGGUAAUACAGUAGGGGGAGUGUGAGGUAAUACAGUAGGGGGAGUGUGAGGUAAUACAGUAGGGGGAGUGCUGAGGUAAUACAGUAGGGGGAGUGCUGAGGUAAUACAGUAGGGGAGUUGCUGAGGUAAUACAGUAGGGGGAGUUGGGAGGUAAUGCAGUAGGGGGAGUGCUGAGGUAAUACAGUAGGGGAGUGCUGCUCAGCGUGAGGUAAUACAGUAGGGGGAGUGCUGCUCAGCGUGAGGUAAUACAGUAGGGGAGUGCUGCUCAGCGUGAGGUAAUACAGUAGGGGGAGUGUGAGGUAAUACAGUAGGGGGAGUGUGAGAGCUUCUCAAAUGUACCGUUUUAUGCAUUGACCCACACUCUAGUCCUCACAAGAACAUCCUGGGAGAAUGUACUCUGAAUGGAGCGGAGUAGUAUGGGAUUGUCCUCUGAGAAUGAGAGCGUGGUGCACGGUAGUUUUGCAUAUAGCCUGGCUGCCAAUCCUCAUCGCUCCGG
ensembl:lncRNA